rnacentral:rRNA from 1 species
ACGAGAAAGUGGAGCAAUCCACGAGUAAAGUGGCGACCGGGUGAGUAACACGUGACUAACCUGCCUUCGAGUGGGGGAUAACCUCGGGAAACCGGGGCUAAUACCGCAUAAUGCCUUCGGGUUAAAGGAGCAAUUCGCUUGAAGAGGGGGUCGCGGCUGAUUAGCUAGUUGGCGGGGUAACGGCCCACCAAGGCGAUGAUCGGUAGCCGGCCUGAGAGGGCGCACGGCCACACUGGAACUGAAACACGGUCCAGACUCCUACGGGAGGCAGCAGUGGGGAAUUUUGCGCAAUGGGGGAAACCCUGACGCAGCAACGCCGCGUGGAGGAUGAAGUCCCUUGGGACGUAAACUCCUUUCGACCGGGACGAUUAUGACGGUACCGGUGGAAGAAGCCCCGGCUAACUUCGUGCCAGCAGCCGCGGUAAUACAAGGGGGGCGAGCGUUGUUCGGAAUUAUUGGGCGUAAAGGGCGCGUAGGCGGUGCGGUAAGUCACCUGUGAAACCUCUGGGCUUAACUCAGAGCCUGCAAGCAAAACUGCCGUGCUGGAGUGUGGGAAACGUGCGUGAAAUUCCCGGUGUAGCGGUGAAAUGCAUACAUAUCGAGAGAAACACCUGUGGCGAAAGCGGCCUCACUGGACCUCUACUUGACGCUAAGGCACCAAAAGCCUAGGGGAACAAACACGAUUACAUACCCCUGGUAGUCCUAGCCCUAAAACAAUGAAUGCUUGGUGUGUUGGGGUUACCUAAUUCCCUAACGUUCCCGAAUUCUAAACUUUAAAA